rnacentral:rRNA from 1 species
UGAUGCAGCAACGCCGCGUGAGUGAUGAAGGUUUUCGGAUCGUAAAGCUCUGUCUUUGGGGAAGAUAAUGACGGUACCCAAGGAGGAAGCCACGGCUAACUACGUGCCAGCAGCCGCGGUAAUACGUAGGUGGCGAGCGUUAUCCGGAUUUACUGGGCGUAAAGGGAGCGUAGGCGGAUGAUUAAGUGGGAUGUGAAAUACCCGGGCUCAACUUGGGUGCUGCAUUCCAAACUGGUUAUCUAGAGUGCAGGAGAGGAGAGUGGAAUUCCUAGUGUAGCGGUGAAAUGCGUAGAGAUUAGGAAGAACACCAGUGGCGAAGGCGACUCUCUGGACUGUAACUGACGCUGAGGCUCGAAAGCGUGGGGAGCAAACAGGAUUAGAUACCCGGGUAG